rnacentral:rRNA from 1 species
CAGCAGCCGCGGUAAUACGUAGGGGGCGAGCUUUGUCCGGAGUUAUUGGGCGUAAAGCGCGCGCAGGCGGUCCCUUAAGUCUGAUGUGAAAGCCCACGGCUCAACCGUGGAGGGUCAUUGGAAACUGGGGGACUUGAGUGCAGAAGAGGAGAGCGGAAUUCCACGUGUAGCGGUGAAAUGCGUAGAGAUGUGGAGGAACACCAGUGGCGAAGGCGGCUCUCUGGUCUGUAACUGACGCUGAGGCGCGAAAGCGUGGGGAGCAAACAGGAUUAGAUACCCUGGUAGUCCACGCCGUAAACGAUGAGUGCUAAGUGUUAGAGGGGUUAAUCCCUCCGUGCCGAAGCUAACGCAUUAAGUGCCCCGCCUGGGGAGUACGGCCGCAAGGUUGAAACUUAAAGGAAUUGGCGGG